CAGCAGCCGCGGUAAUACGAGGGGGGCAAGCGUUGUUCGGAAUUAUUGGGCGUAAAGGGUGCGUAGGCGGCUUGACAAGUCUUGUGUGAAAUCUAUGGGCUCAACCCAUAGUCUGCACGGGAAACUGUCGGGCUUGAGAAUGGGAGAGGUGAGUGGAAUUUCCGGUGUAGCGGUGAAAUGCGUAGAUAUCGGAAGGAACACCUGUGGCGAAAGCGGCUCACUGGACCAUUUCUGGCGCUGAUGCACGAAAGCUAGGGGAGCAAACAGGAUUAGAUACCCCAGUAGUCCCUGUCUCUUAUAA
rnacentral:rRNA from 1 species